rnacentral:rRNA from 1 species
UACAGAGGGUGCAAGCGUUAAUCGGAAUUACUGGGCGUAAAGCGUGCGUAGACGGUUCUGUAAGUCGGGUGUGAAAGCCCCGGGCUCAACCUGGGAAUGCCAUUCGAGACUGCAUAGCUAGGGUGCGGAAGAGGGAAGCGGAAUUUCCGGUGUAGCGGUGAAAUGCGUAGAUAUCGGAAGGAACACCAGUGGCGAAAGCGGCUUCCUGGUCCAGCACCGACGUUCAGGCACGAAAGCGUGGGGAGCAAACAGG